rnacentral:rRNA from 1 species
GAUGAACGCUGGCGGCGUGCCUAAUACAUGCAAGUCGAGCGAACAGACGAGGAGCUUGCUCCACUGACGUUAGCGGCGGACGGGUGAGUAACACGUGGAUAACCUACCUAUAAGACUGGGAUAACUUCGGGAAACCGGAGCUAAUACCGGAUAAUAUAUUGAACAGCAUGGUUCAAUAGUGAAAGACGGUUUUGCUGUCACUGAUAGAUGGAUCCGCGCCGCAUUAGCUAGUUGGUAAGGUAACGGCUUACCAAGGCGACGAUGCGUAGCCGCCCUGAGAGGGUGAUCGGCCACACUGGAACUGAGACACGGUCCAGACUCCUACGGGAGGCAGCAGUAGGGAAUCUUCCGCAAUGGGCGAAAGCCUGACGGAGCAACGCCGCGUGAGUGAUGAAGGUCUUCGGAUCGUAAAACUCUGUUAUUAGGGAAGAACAAAUGUGUAAGUAACUAUGCACGUCUUGACGGUACCUAAUCAGAAAGCCACGGCUAACUACGUG